ACUCUCAUGAUCGUUCUUUCCACAUGAUCUCCUAUAUUUCUAGUAAAGAAUUAAUUUGACACCACAUUAUUCACACGAACAACUAGGGAAUCUUUCAUAGGAUAACUUUGGAAUUCUCUACGGCUUGUUUGGAUUCAAGCAUUUGAUUUCAAAUUCUGGAAUUGGAUCAAUGUUAAUGUUUGGAUUUCUAAAUAAUUGAGAAUUUAAAAUUGAUCCAAUUCCAAAUGUGUUUUAAACAUGCAGCGGGCCUUGUAUUUGAAAUGAUAUCCCGAUGGGUGUCAUUUGGAAAUUUUCACGACUCUCUCGAGUCGCGAUCUCCUGGCGAUCCCUUAACUCGGAUACCCCCCCUCUCAAUCUUCUCUAUCCUCAAUCUUUUUCUUCCUCAAUCGAUCAUCUGCAGAAACCCUAACCCUAGUCCAAUCUUUCUCCCUCAUUUGAUCCAGAGCCUUAAUCUCUCCUCCGAUGAGGUAGCAAUAGCAACCCUUGGCGACUGUCGAUGAUGGAGCCUCCGGCCUCGAACAGGAUCCUGAUCGGAGAAGAGUGAGGUUUAGUUUGGGGGAAGACUGGUUCAGUUCCAUGGCGAGAGUCGCAGGGGCAAGGGCUUGAGCGCUAUGAUGUAGAUCUCCUCCCGUGGGAAAAUAAAAACCCUAACAGGAUCCUGAUCGGACAACUAAAACUCUAUAAAUUCAUCAAUUGAAGCCAAGUCUUUUGGAAGAAUCAGAAUCAGCGAUUUAGAGCGCUCGAGGUGAUUCAAGAACUCGCAAAGUAAGACUUUCUGAACCAAUGGGAGAAAACUACAAAAGAAUACAAAGUGGAAGUGUAUAAGCACUAGAAAAAAAAACUCUCAUUUGAAUCAGAUGUAAAAGUCUUAAAGAAAUUAGCGCGAGAGCAACUUAAGCAUGACAUUAUGUAACAGCGAAAUAUUAACUUUUGUUGGUUUGUAUUUGUUGGAUAUUUUGGAUUUCUAGUUUGUUAAAUUGUUAUAUGUAAUAUUUGAAGUUUAUACUUUAUUUAUUGUUUUGGUUA